GGCGUCGAGCGGCGGACGGGUGAGUAAUGCCUAGGAAAUUGCCUUGAUGUGGGGGAUAACCAUUGGAAACGAUGGCUAAUACCGCAUAAUGCCUACGGGCCAAAGAGGGGGACCUUCGGGCCUCUCGCGUCAAGAUAUGCCUAGGUGGGAUUAGCUAGUUGGUGAGGUAAUGGCUCACCAAGGCGACGAUCCCUAGCUGGUCUGAGAGGAUGAUCAGCCACACUGGAACUGAGACACGGUCCAGACUCCUACGGGAGGCAGCAGUGGGGAAUAUUGCACAAUGGGCGAAAGCCUGAUGCAGCCAUGCCGCGUGUAUGAAGAAGGCCUUCGGGUUGUAAAGUACUUUCAGUUGUGAGGAAGGGGGUGUCGUUAAUAGCGGCAUCUCUUGACGUUAGCAACAGAAGAAGCACCGGCUAACUCCGUGCCAGCAGCCGCGGUAAUACGGAGGGUGCGAGCGUUAAUCGGAAUUACUGGGCGUAAAGCGCAUGCAGGUGGUUCAUUAAGUCAGAUGUGAAAGCCCGGGGCUCAACCUCGGAACUGCAUUUGAAACUGGUGAACUAGAGUACUGUAGAGGGGGGUAGAAUUUCAGGUGUAGCGGUGAAAUG
rnacentral:rRNA from 1 species